UGUGGCGGGGGUUGGGGUGGAGAGGGGCGGGCCCCGCUCAGGCCCCGCCCCACAGUGGGCGGAGCUCGCAGAGGACCUACAACGCGCGGCGUCGGGCUCUGUGCGCAGGCGCGCGUCGGUCCUCGGCGGGGCUCCCUGGUGGUCUCGGGCCUGUCUGGGCGCGGUCGCGCUUGGGGCGGGCGGUAGGCCCUGGAGGUCGGCGCCCUGGUCAGCGCGGGCCUCCUGAGGCUGCGAAGAGGGGCGCGGGGCGGAGGCAGAGGCAGCGCCGCCUGGGCCGCGUCCACACUGAAUGGGGGGAGACUGGGGGUCCCGAGCGAACGCGCGGGAAGGGCUGAGUUUGUGGGAGAGGCCGCGCUGGCUGCGGGGUCUCCGUCCUCGUAAUCGCCGAGGCGGCCUGAACGCGGCCCAGAGGACUGAGCGACAGACCCCAUCGGGCCCCGCAGCCCGGGGAGGCUCUGCUGGAACAGAGCAUCUCUACUGAGCCGGAAGGAGGGGGACUCCAGGAACGGGAAUCUCACAGGGAAGAACCCCCACUCCCUCCAGCCUCUGACCCAAGACCCAUCAGAGCUUCAGAAGAGAAGCGGAAGAUACCCAGAAAAGGAGCAUAUCGCCCGGAGGGCCGAGGCUUGAGUAAUUUCACCACCAUCAGCUGGAAAAAGCCUGAAAGGGGAAAUGACUUGUGAAGAAUCGGUAAGAGGCACAUAGAAGUCCUGGCAUGUGCUGUCCACACGAUCGCAUGGAAACACGUUUCCUCUUAAAAGAAAUCCUUUUUAGGACGUCUCUGGUGGUCCAGUGGGAUUAAAGGUUGCCCAGCUGGCGUGUGGAAGUUUUUAGGAAGAGCGUUGAGGAGCUCUCAUCAUCCUGUUCCUCUUUCCUCCUCUUCCAGGAAUGCCUUCCCAGGUUUUGACAGUCUUCCAAGAGCAACAGAAAAUGAACAAAUCCCAGAAGUGUGCUGGCCAGGGAUCCGUGUCAUUCAAGGACGUGACUGUGGACUUCACUUGGGAUGAGUGGCUACAGCUGACCUGUAUGCAGAGGACCCUGUACCGGGAUGUGAUGCUGGAAAACUACAGCCACCUGGUCUCCGUGGGUGAGGAGUCUUCCCUGUGUAAUGCCUCACAGUGUGCAUUUCUUUUCUUAGCUGCCAAAACUUAUGAGCCCUUGGUGGAGCUUUAUGAUGUUUGUACAGCUCAUGGGUCAGAAAUGAUUGCUGCUAUUGAGCACAGAAAGAAUGUUUCUGUUCUCACUUCCCUAAAGAAAGGUUCAAAUGGGCACCAUUAUCAUGUGAAUCCUGAACCGGCACCUUCAUUGUCCUUCAGGGCCCCGAUGUCCAAGCAGCUUGUCUGAAGCCUUAACCCUGUAUC